rnacentral:rRNA from 1 species
CGAACGCUGGCGGCGUGCUUAACACAUGCAAGUCGAGCGGUAAGGCCCUUUCGUGGGUACACGAGCGGCGAACGGGUGAGUAACACGUGGGUGACCUGCCCUCAGCUCUGGGAUAAGCCUGGGAAACCCGGGUCUAAUACCGGAUAUGACUCCAUGACGCAUGUUGUGGGGUGGAAAGCCUUGUGCGGCUGAGGAUGGGCCCGCGGCCUAUCAGCUUGUUGGUGGGGUGAUGGCCUACCAAGGCGACGACGGGUAGCCGGCCUGAGAGGGCGACCGGCCACACUGGGACUGGAGACACGGCCCAGACCUCCUACGGGAGGCAGCAGUGGGGAAUCUUGCGCAAUGGGCGAAAGCCUGACGCAGCGACGCCGCGUGA